rnacentral:rRNA from 1 species
CAAUAGCGUAUAUUAAAGUUGUUGCAGUUAGAACGCUCGUAGUCGGAUUUCGGGGUGGGCCGACCGGUCUGCCGAUGGGUACGCACUGGUCGGCGCGUCCUUCCUUCCGGAGACCGUGCCUACUCUUAACUGAGCGGGGGCGGGAGACGGAUCGUUUACUUUGAAAAAAUCAGAGUGUUUCAAGCAGGCAGCUCGCUCUUGCAUGGAUUAGCAUGGGAUAAUGAAAUAGGACUUUGGUGCUAUUUUGUUGGUUUCGAACACCGAAGUAAUGAUUAACAGGGACAGUCAGGGGCACUCGUAUUCCGCCGAGAGAGGUGAAAUUCUCAGACCAGCGGAAGACGAACUACUGCGAAAGCAUUUGCCAGGGAUGUUUUCACUGA